rnacentral:rRNA from 2 species
GAUGAACGCCGGCGGUGUGCCUAAUACAUGCAAGUCGAACGCGUUGGCCCAAUUGAUUGACGGUGCUUGCAUCUGAUUGAUUUUGGUCGCCAACGAGUGGCGGACGGGUGAGUAACACGUAGGUAACCUGCCCAGAAGCGGGGGACAACAUUUGGAAACGGAUGCUAAUACCGCAUAACAGCGUUGUUCGCAUGAGCAACGCUUAAAAGAUGGCUUCUCGCUAUCACUUCUGGAUGGACCUGCGGUGCAUUAGCUUGUUGGUGGGGUAACGGCCUACCAAGGCGAUGAUGCAUAGCCGAGUUGAGAGACUGAUCGGCCACAAUGGGACUGAGACACGGCCCAUACUCCUACGGGAGGCAGCAGUAGGGAAUCUUCCACAAUGGGCGCAAGCCUGAUGGAGCAACACCGCGUGAGUGAAGAAGGGUUUCGGCUCGUAAAGCUCUGUUGUUAAAGAAGAACACGUAUGAGAGUAACUGUUCAUACGU